UACGUAGGGGGCUAGCGUUGUCCGGAAUCAUUGGGCGUAAAGAGCGUGUAGGCGGUCCGGUAAGUCCGCUGUGAAAGUCGGGGGCUCAACCCUCGAAUGCCGGUGGAUACUGUCGGGCUAGAGUGCGGAAGAGGCGAGUGGAAUUCCUGGUGUAGCGGUGAAAUGCGCAGAUAUCAGGAGGAACACCUAUUGCGAAGGCAGCUCGCUGGGACGUUACUGACGCUGGAGACGCGAAAAGCGUGGGGAGCAAACAGG
rnacentral:rRNA from 1 species